CGACAACGCGCUUGCGAUGCUUCUGGUGUUGCAGGAGUCUGUAAGCUACGGUAAUCGCUUACCAUCAGGUGAGUCGUAGGCUUGUUUGCCAAACUAGU